CAUGUUUGCAUGUAAGAAAUUUGCUCCUCUGGGACGAAAUCACAGAUGCACAAAUGCUCAAAGUGUUCCCACUUCUCCCAAGAGGGACGGCUUACACUUCCAGAAGACAUCCCCAGGGAAGUGAUAUGCAUUUUACAAACAGAAAAAAAGAAAGUAAACAUCACUUAUCUGGAGGACUGGUUGAAGUUGUUUUCAUUUGAAUUGGAAUUCUGACCAAUGUAGAGCACGUUAAUUAAAGAUGCAUUAAGAGAAAAGAAGGAAAGAAGAAAGAAAGAAAGAAAGAAGAAAAGAAAAGAAGAAAAGAAAAGAGAAAGGAAACUGACCAUGACAUAUAUUUGUGUGAAUCUUAACACAACUUCUGCAACCUACAGGUAGCAAAGGAGCAGUCUGAGAUGGGGAGAAAUGGAGAAUUCAAGACCGGUAUGCUGUAAGUCAUGGAAAUCAUAGAACUGAUAAAGCUCAGCAGAAGAGGGAAACCAGAAUUUGGGCUCCCGCUGUGUUACAUUAG